ACUCUCCCUUCCCGAUCGAAUCUGAGGGGAACAGCGACCGGAGGUGAGGAGCAGCCGGUGCGGAUGGGAUGGAAUCCAUCUGGUCGAUCCCAGCGACCGGAGGAGGAGGAUGCGGAUCGAGGCAAGAAAGGUGGGGCGUCGUGAGGAGUAGCCAGUGCGGCCGGAUGGGAUCGAAUGCAUCCGGUCGAUCCCAGCGAUCGGAGGAGCAGGAUCCGGAUCAAGGCAAGAAAUGUGGGGGCGAGGGAGAUAAUGGCAGGCGCCUCCCCUUCUUGAAACUGCUCUGCUCUCCUUGAAGCUCGCAAUCAUGGCCCUCCUCUGCUGGAACUGCUCUCCUCUCCUUGAAGCUCGCAAUCAUGGCGUAUUAUUCAUUCAUGGCUGGUAAAUUCGCAAACCUUUCUUAUGCCCAGUGGUACUAUAUAAUGCUGCCCUCCCUGACUGUAUGCACACACUACUCCCGCAUCUUCAUCUUCUUCAGCACCAUGCUAAGGUGAUGUUCAUGCACAAUUGAUUUGGGCAGAUUCUGCAGAUUCCUACUGUCCAUUUUUGUGCUCAGCUGUUCAUCAUCUCUCAAAUGGCUUUUGGACAGGUAAUUACUCCGCACAUUAUUCUUUCGUGUUUUGCUAUCAAUUUUACUACUACGGCACAAAUUGCUUAAACAAUAUAUUCCUCUGGUAUUCAUAUCAUGCUGCUGUAUCGAACAAGUGAAUUAGAAAAGUAGUAUUACAAUGCGCAAAAAAAUGUAGCCAUUCCGUCGUAGGGGGAGCCGAAGCCUUGACAUCUUCUGCCUGUACUAAUAAACGAGCAAAGUCCAAUUCUGUGGAUAAUUUUUUUCCCUAAGUACCCAAAGCAACAUUCAAAUGAAAAUCGUCUCGCCCGUAUUAAAUUCAGAAGAUAGAAGAAAUUAAUACAAUCAGGGCCACUGCGUGAUGCCACUGGCCAUAGAAUUGCCUCUUAGUGAGGAGUAUGCACUGAUUUGGCAUUUCAAUUUGGGGAGUUCUUCAGUUUAGGCGCAUUUGGGAAUUCUUCAGUUUCCCAUCUUCAAUGGAUAACGGUUGUUAAUUCUGGUCUAAAAUUAUUUAUUUGUUGAUCUAAUCAUGCUGUAAGUUAAAUUUAUCUAUGCAGAUUCACCCAUCGUAUAUUCUCCAAAUAAGUAUGGGAAUGGUUUUUGUUUUGCCGUAAGCAUCCAUAUAGAGAAAUUCAUUUUGAUGUGCCAGCUCUAAGUUCAUAUAGAUGUCCAUAUCAGACCUAUCAGAAUUAAGCCUACAGAUUGUCUUGAUUUUCUUGUAUCUGAAUUUGGAUGUACCAACUGGUUUUUAUGCUUGUGUAUCACAGCAAUGGCUAUUGUGAGGUUGCAGCAGGGAUACACCAUUAGAACUGACCUUAUUCUUUCAAGAGCUAAGAUCUACUCUGGUGUAUCUUUCAAAAGCUCAAAAAUCUUGGGUUUAACUAAUGGCAACACAGCCACGAGCAUUGGUGUUUUUUCUCGGUUUUUUGCAGGAAGAAGCAAACAUUCAGGUACAGAUUCAAGCAUCUACCCCAGCCACUUCUUCACCACUCCAGGCAGAAGCGCAAACACUUCUUCUUGCAGCCAACAUAUCCCAGCUCCUCCAGGUCUAGCAGCCAACUUUUCUCACAGAUAAUCUCACCCUUGCCAAGGAGGCGGCACCUAGGAAUGUCACUGCUGACACUGUUCCUUGGGCGGUCAGAAAGCAUCUUGCGCAUUUCUACAGGACCACCCAAGAAUUGCAGCUGCAGGUGUUUCACAUCUCUAGGGAAAUCAAUGGUAUUGCUCAUAAUGUAGCUCAUUAGGUUCUGAAUCGUUCCAUUGAACCCGUUUUUAGCUGUUUUGGUUCAGCUCAUAGGUAUAGAACGUGCCAUGUAAUUUCUCUCCUCUCUUCUCUAAAUCUCAAGGGUGUUUUUCUUUAUAUUGUACAGUGUACAAUGCUUUUGAGCUGGAUGAAUUUGUCGCCUUCGACGCUUUUCUCUGUUUAAGAAAAAGCUUAUACAGCAAUGAGAUUA